AGCCUUCCCGGUCAGCGGUGGUGACGGUAUCCCAGAGUGCCAGAGAACCGUUGCUUUUCCGAGUUGCUCUUCUUCCAGGCUCCGUUGGUGGUCGGCAUGGCCCGUGGAAAUCAACGAGAACUUGCCCGCCAGAAAAACAUGAAGAAAACCCAGGAAAUUAGCAAGGGAAAGAGGAAAGAGGAUAGCUUGACUGCCUCUCAGAGAAAGCAGAGAUAUGGCGUCUUACUCUGUGACCCAGACUGGAGUGCAGUGCCACAGUCUCGGUUCACUGCAAGCUCUGCCUCCCAGGCUCAAGUGACCCUCCCACCUCAGCCUUCUGAGUAGCUGGGACUACAAGGGCACACCACCAAGCCCAGAUAGUUUUUAUAUUUUUUGUAGAAACGGGGUUUCAUCAUGUUGUCCAGGCAGGUCUUGAACUUCUGGGGUCAAGUGAUUUGCCCACCUCAGUCCCCCAAAGUGCUGGAAUUACAGGUGUGAGCCACUAUGCCCGGCCCUAACAUUUAUUAUUAAAGUGAUAAGCUUUGUCUUCAAUUUCUGUUGACUCACAUUAGAGUAAAAAUGAACAUGGU
rnacentral:lncRNA from 1 species